UCGGUGAGGUUUGUUAAAGAGUCGUGUUUGUUAAAGAGUCGUGUUUGUUAAAGAGUCGUGCUCGGGGGUCAGAGGGAGGGUCACCUGUGGUCAGCAGGUUCACGCACAUCUGCUCUAUCACACGAGUUUACCUGACAGGUACAAUCAGACGGCCGAUUAGUGCGAGAACAGCUUUAAUGUGUGUGUGUGUGUGUUUAUGUCUCUCUGUUUGUGUUUAUCUGUGUGUGUUUGUUUUGUGUCUUUUCCCUCCACUCUGUCCUUUAACGUGUCUGUCUGUUGCGUGUCUGUGUCUCCGAGUGUGUGUGUUUGUGUGUGUGUGUGCGGACCCGCUGGGUGACAUUUUCCAUUCCAGGUGUGACAUCUCGAUUCCCUGACAGCCUCUUCUCCUCUGACACACACUAAACAACUCCUCUGAUUUUACCUGCCUCCUACACACACACACGCACACACACACACACACACACACACACACACCUCGCCGACCACCUCUGUCUCAGCUCUGCCGCUCGACAAGCUAAUUUAGCCAAUUACACACAGGUGCGAUGCUAAUUUCCCCGAGCUGGCAGCCAGCUCCUGGAGGAGGUAAAAAUAACGAAAUUACACCCAUCUGUCCUCCUGCCGGCAGGCGGGCUCUCCCACUGGGUGUCUGCUCCACCGCCACCACAAAACACACACCAGAGAGAGAGAAAAACACACACUGGCUUUGAUAAUGGAGGGGAAGACAAUGGACAGUGUGUACGAGUGUGUGUGUCGGUGUGUGUGUCAGUGUGUGUUUGUGUGUGCAGGAAUCCAGGCGGCAGCCACAGUUGCUUUUUCUCCUCUUUGUUUGCAGCUUUCAAUAGAUUUUCAGAGAUACACAGCAAUUUCCUGCCACAAAAGAAGCAGCAGACUUUUGGUGCGGAGGGAUGAUUAUGUGAAGCUGUUUUCCGAGGCGACAGGGUUCAGUGUGUUCACAGAGAGGAGGAGGAGGAUUUCUGCGACACAAAACAAACCCUGGUCGGAGGAGACGGAGGCCUUCAGAGUGACGGGAGAGCUCCAGGAGUGUCAUCCCAAAAAAAAAAAAAAAAAAACAAGCAGCAGUGAUUCUCCUGCAGACGAGCAUUCAUGCAGCAUCAAAAGUUCAUUCUGGAGGCACAAAAACCGCCUCUGAAGGUGAUCACGGCAUCCAACCAAAAACUCUGCAGGUGCUCCGCUCAUGCAGACGACGCUCUCUCUCUCUCUCUCUCUCUCUCUCUCUGUUUUUUUUUCAUCCUGGUUUUCCUGCCCGGAUUUAGACGUGCAGAAACUCCAACUGUACAUGUGUGCAGAACCAGAACCAGAACCAGAGACUGCAUCUUCAGGACCCUUGUGUAAAACACUAAACUGAAAAUCUGAGAUCUUUAAGUUUGUGAUCUUUUUAACUCUUUAUCUUUUAGUAUCUUAUAUUUGAUAUUUUACUAUUUUGUGUUGCAUAUAGUGUACAUACAUGUAUAUUAUUUCUUUGUUUGUUUUAUCUCCUCUUUCUACUUUAUUUGCACUGAAGUUACUGAACACAACAUAGUGAAAUAUUAAAUGUCAGAUCGGAAAAAGGUAGAUCACCUUCUCCAGGUCGGAGGGGAGGUCCUGCCUCAAGUGGAGGAGUUCAAGUUUCUCAGGAUCUUGUUCACGAGUGAGGGUAGGAUGAAGCAGGAGAUUGACAGGCGGAUCGAAGCGGCGUCAGCAGUGAUGUGGACGCUUAAGCGAUCAGUGGUGGUGAAGAAAGAGCUGAGCCGUAAGGAGAGACUCUGGAUUUACCGGUCGAUCUACGUGCCGAUCCUCACCUAUGGUCAUGAACUUUGGGUAAUGACCGAAAGAACAAGAUCGCAGAUACAAGCGGCUGAAAUGGGUUUCCUCCUCAGGGUGUCCGGGCUCAGCCUUAGAGAUAGGGUAAGGAGCUCGGACACUCGGGAGGAGCUCAGAGGAGAACCGCUGCUCCUCCACGUCCAGACGAUGACAACGUUUGAUUCUGAUUUCUGCAACAUUUCAAGUCAAUAAUUAAAAAAAAAAAAAAAAUUAUUCGUGCAUAAAGAAUAAAACUUCUCUGUGUAUCACUGCAGAUGGUCUCCCCUCAUUGGCCCCUGAAUAAACCGUCUUAAGUAAAGCUUAUACAGAUAGUUUUAGUUUUUAUCGUGUGGCGAUAACAGAGAAAACUCUCGGAUCUGCGGUGAAGUCC